UACGAAGGGGGCUAGCGUUGUUCGGAUUUACUGGGCGUAAAGCGCACGUAGGCGGAUCGUUAAGUCGGGGGUGAAAUCCUGGAGCUCAACUCCAGAACUGCCUUCGAUACUGGCGAUCUUGAGUCCGGAAGAGGUGAGCGGAACUCCUAGUGUAGAGGUGGAAUUCGUAGAUAUUAGGAAGAACACCAGUGGCGAAGGCGGCUCACUGGUCCGGUACUGACGCUGAGGUGCGAAAGCGUGGGGAGCAAACAGG
rnacentral:rRNA from 1 species